UACGAAGGGGGCUAGCGUUGCUCGGAAUCACUGGGCGUAAAGGGCGCGUAGGCGGACUCUUAAGUCGGAGGUGAAAGCCCAGGGCUCAACCCUGGAAUUGCCUUCGAUACUGGGAGUCUUGAGUUCGGAAGAGGUCGGUGGAACUGCGAGUGUAGAGGUGAAAUUCGUAGAUAUUCGCAAGAACACCGGUGGCGAAGGCGGCCAACUGGUCCGAAACUGACGCUGAGGCGCGAAAGCGUGGGGAGCAAACAGG
rnacentral:rRNA from 1 species